ACUAUGAGGGCUAUGUGGCUAAUUGAAGAGCAUGCAAUGAGUGAUUCUAAGUCUGUUUGUCGUAGGCAGAUGGAGCUUGUUAU
rnacentral:miRNA from 1 species